CGAGAAGGCAGGGAAGUUGUUGACCCAGGGAAGGACAUCAGUUCAUUGGCACGAGUUCACGUGAGAGGUAGCUGUGUUCCAAAACGUUUUUCAAGACACUGGAAUCGUCCGGUUGGAAUACUACUGAAUUUUCACGUUCUAAAGGCCCUAAAGAUUGAUGCUUUACAAUGUUUGACAUGUUUGAACGAAUGUAAAUAUAACUUUUUUUUACUUUUCGUCGUGACAUUUUCCGCGCGCUUCCUACAUUUGGAGUAGCUGAACUGAACUCGUGAACAACAAGGAGCUAUUUGGACAUAAAUUAUGGAGUUUAUCGAACAAAACAACAUUUGUUGUGGACUGGGGAUUCCUGGAAGUGCCUUCUGAUGAAGAUCAUCAAAGUAUGCUGCCGUAUGGGUAUCACCCAGUGAUCGCCAAGCACUGCAUCAACAAGAAGGUGAACAUGGUGACUACCAGCUACCUGAGUCCAGCCAUGAAGGACAUUCAAUAGAGUGCUGAGGAAGCUGGCAUCACCAUAGUGAAUGAGAUGGGCCUGGACCCUGGCAUCGACCACAUGCUGGCUAUGGAGUUUAUCGACCAAGCCAAGGCGGACGGCUGCACUGAGAGUGAAACAGUGCUCAGACAAUGCUCUGCACUACAAAUUCAGCUGGAGUCCUUAUGGAGUCCUCCUCAAUACCAUCAGCCCUGCCAUCUUCCCCAAGGACAACAAGGUGGUGAGCAUCCUAGCGGGCGGAACUCUGAUGGCGUCUACGUCUCCCAUGGACUUCAUGCCUGGCUUCCACCUGGAGGGUUUCCCCAACCGCGACAGCACCAAAUACGGCAUCGAGCCGGCCCACACAUCAGAGGAACACUCCGCUUCAAGGGUUUCUCCAAGUCCAUGAGUGGCUUUGUGUAGCUGGGUCUGAUCAACACUGACCCCUGCCCCAUGCUAGAGCUAGAGCUCCUGUCUCCUGGAAAGAGCUGCGGAGUAUACAGAUGGGCUUGCCCCUGUCUAUCUCUAACAAUGCAUUUGAGGGAGCGAUCUACGACAUCAUCCGCCAAGACGACUUCAAAAUGGAGACAUUCAAAUG
rnacentral:lncRNA from 1 species